rnacentral:tRNA from 1 species
GCUAUUGGAUAGCUCAGUGGUAGAGCUCCAGGAGGCCUGGAGGUCACAGGUCCGAAUUCUGACCGGUGGCU